AGCUCACUCAAGAACCCAGCCCCCAUAGUGUGAGGAGGCCUAGGACAGUUACAGAAGCCAUGUGUAGGUGUUCUGGCUCCAGCAAAAGUCUUAUCUGACAACAUCAACUACAUGUUAGUGGGUAUAACCUCAUCCUGGAGCAGGGCACCCUAUCGUCAGAUGGUAUCAUCUUUAAGGGGUUGUCUCAGCCAUGCCUUUAGAAUUACCUUUCAUUGCUUGUCAUGCUGGAAGCUUCUGAAUGUUGCAUUUUGUGAUAGAAACAGUGGGUACCAUGGUCAUGUGCUCACAUCUCCUUUGCGGUAAAGAAAAGGAUCACUCAUUAACAUCCACCAGAUAACAUUCUCCAUGAAAGCACCAAAUAAACUAACCAGAAUUGGCUACAGUUUCUUCAAGAAAAUACCCCAAUGGAAGAAAAAAAGGUGGAGGGAGAAACUGAAUGAAGAAAGGAUGAUUUGAAAUUACCAGAAAGUGGAACGUGGAAAAAACAGAGUAAAACUAGUUUGAGAAUAAAAUCUUAGGUUGUAACAUCUUCUGGGAAUUUAUUCUUUAAAUAUUGCUUUUAACUGGAUUCUUUGGUAAAUAGUAAAUGCAUUUUGGUUUU
rnacentral:lncRNA from 1 species